rnacentral:rRNA from 1 species
CACGCCGUAAACGAUGAGUACUAGGUGUAGGGGGUAUCGACCCCCCCUGUGCCGCAGUAAACACAAUAAGUACUCCGCCUGGGAAGUACGAUCGCAAGAUUAAAACUCAAAGGAAUUGACGGGGACCCGCACAAGCAGCGGAGCAUGUGGUUUAAUUCGAAGCAACGCGAAGAACCUUACCUGGACUUGACAUCCCCUGAAUAGCCUAGAGAUAGGCGAAGCCCUUCGGGGCAGGGAGACAGGUGG